rnacentral:rRNA from 1 species
GAUGAACGCUGGCGGCGUGCUUAACACAUGCAAGUCGAACGGAAAGGCCCAAGCUUGCUUGGGUACUCGAGUGGCGAACGGGUGAGUAACACGUGAGUGAUCUGCCCCGCACUUCGGGAUAAGCCUGGGAAACUGGUUCUAAUACCGGAUAGGUCAGUGGGUUGGAUGCGAUUGUUGAGAGCUUUUUCGGUGUGGGGUGAGCUCGCGGCCUAUCAGCGUGUUGGGGGGGUAAUGGCCUACAAAGGCGUCGACGUGUAGGCUGCCUGAGAGAGUGUACCGCCACACUGGGACCGAGGUACGGCCCAGACUCCUACGGGAGGCAGCAGUGGGGAAUAUUGCACAAUGGGUGCCAGCCUGAUGCAGCGAGGCUGCGUGGUGGAUGACGGCCUUCGGGUUGUAAACUCCUAUCGCGAGGGACGAAGCGUUAUGUGACGGUACCUAGAGAAGAAGCACCGGCUAACUACGUG